rnacentral:misc_RNA from 1 species
GUGAAUCAUCGAAUUUUUGAACGCAAAUUGCACUCUCCUCGGAGAGUAUGCCUGUUUGAGGGUCAGACUAUAAAAAAUCGAAAUAGUUGAUGUUUCGCGGUGGCGUUCGUCGGAAAUGGGGGUAUCUUAAAUCUUUUGGUUUUAAGUGACUUAAAAUGUUCUUUUUGGUUCUAUGAAUGUUUCUAAGAUUUAUUUAUUUACAUGUUUAAGGUAUCGAUUUUUAUUAGACGUGACCAUCAUAUCGGAUCGAGAAAAUAAUGUUUCAUUAACUGAACUCAGAAAGGGA